rnacentral:rRNA from 1 species
GAUGAACGCUGGCGGCGUGCCUAAUACAUGCAAGUCGAGCGAACAGACGAUGAGCUUUCUCCUCUGACGUUAGCGGCGGACGGGCGAGUAACACGUGGAUAACCUACCUAUAAGUCUGGGAUAACUUCGGGAAACCGGUGCUAAUACCGGAUCAUAUAUUGAACCGCAUGGUUCAAUAGUGAAAGACGGUUUUGCUGUCACUUAUAGAUGGAUCCGCGCCGGAUUAGCUAGUUGGUAAGGUAACGGCUUACCAAGGCAACGAUGCGUAGCCGACCUGAGAGGGUGAUCAGCCACACUGGAACUGAGACACGGUCCAGACUCCUACGGGAGGCAGCAGUAGGGAAUCUUGCACAAUGGGCGAAAGCCUGACGGAGCAACGCCGCGUGAGUGAUGAAGGUCUUCGGAUCGUAAAACUCUGUUAUUAGGGAAGAACAAAUGUGUAAGUAACUAUGCACGUCUUGACGGUACCUAAUCAGAAAGCCACGGCUAACUACGUG